AUCUGAUAGGAGGGCUGGUUUAGAGAUGGGAUGUAAUGGGAGAAAAGGCUAGAAAGAUGAGGAUACUGAGGCUUGGAGGGGUUAAAACCGAAGAUCAUCUAGUGACAGCCAGCAGGCCCGGCACCCUGGGUGUUCAGUAAACCCUCGAUGACUGACUACUGCCAUCCCAUGUGACCAGCUCCAAUGUCAAGGAGGGAGUGAAAAGACAAAAGGAGUUGGGGUCUCUUCUGCAUCUGCUUCAGAAACCCGGCCGUGAGGAUUGGUUUUUUGUUGUGGCCACUCUCUGUUCUAUUGCCUUCUAUUUUCCUCAUGUUUCAGAUCCUACUCAUUUAAUUUUUUUUUUUUUAAUUUCCACUGUCUUCAAUCUCAUGUGACUCUUUUCUGAACGUGAAAACCUGGCUUAGACAUGAAUACCUUCCGGUCAAAGAGAUUUAAAUAGUGAAGCAAAAGAUCCAAAGCAUGGAACAGUGGUUACCAACAAGGGACCCGGUGGGGUCUGCAAACCCACAUGGAAACCUGGCAUUGUCUAUUUCAAUAGGUAUUUGAAAUUCAUAAACACUGGGCCUAAAGUGUGAACAAGCCAUUAUAUUUGAAUCAUAUAACGUAUAUAUUUACAACAGGUAAUA